GCAAAGGUUUUUUUUAAAAUCACAGCUCAAAAAAAUUCAAAUUUAA
rfam:Heterocephalus glaber contig26290, whole genome shotgun sequence.